rnacentral:rRNA from 1 species
UACGUAGGGCGCAAGCGUUAUCCGGAAUUAUUGGGCGUAAAGAGCUCGUAGGCGGUUUGUCGCGUCUGCCGUGAAAGUCCGGGGCUCAACUCCGGAUCUGCGGUGGGUACGGGCAGACUAGAGUGCAGUAGGGGAGACUGGAAUUCCUGGUGUAGCGGUGAAAUGCGCAGAUAUCAGGAGGAACACCCGUGGCUAAGGCGGCUCUCUAGUACGGUACUGACGCUGAGACGCGAAAACGUGGGGAGCGAACAGG